rnacentral:rRNA from 1 species
AACGAACGCUGGCGGCAUGCCUAACACAUGCAAGUCGAACGAGAACUUCGGGUCUCGUGGCGCACGGGUGCGUAACGCGUGGGGACCUGCCCUUAGGUUCGGAAUAACUCCCCGAAAGGGGUGCUAAUCUCGGAUCAUGUCUUCGUACCAAAGAUUUAUCGCGUUUGGAUGGGCCCGCGUUGGGUGCGCCUGUUGGUAGGGUAAAAGCCUACCAAGGGGACGAUCCAUAGCUGGGCUGAGAGGAUGAGCAGCCACACCGGGACUGAGACACGGCCCAGACUCCUACGGGAGGCAGCAGUGGGGAAUACUGGACAGUGGGCGAAAUCCUGAUCCAGCAAGGCCGCGUGAGUGAUGAAGGCGUUAGGGUUGUAAAGCUCUUUUACCCGGGAUGAUAAUGACAGUACCGGGAGAAUAAGCUCCGGCUAACUCCGUG